rnacentral:sRNA from 1 species
AGGCAAGACAACAGAUAUCUGCCCUGC